GUUCAGCCAAGACAGAUUGUCAAUGGCAAAAUCAGUUUCUGCAAUGUCCAGGUAUAUAAAAUGAAUCAAUUGAGACCAUUUUAUCAUGAAGAAACUUUCCAUUAGUGUCAAUGACAAUGGAACAGAGCAGUAGAUUAUAUAAGUAGUCAACAUUGAUUAACAUGCAUGUGAAUUGGAAUUAGCCAACACCUCUUGCUGACAGUAGCAUAUAAUGCAUAUAACUUCUAAAAUUGUGUCUGCACUAGCAGCCACCUUGUUAAUCUAUUUCCGAGUUCAACCCUCCAACUGAGGUAGUGUAACAUCCUGGAGAGCCACAAGCAUUGCUUGACCACCAUACUCCUCAGGCAAAGAUUCUUCGCCAAUUUCCUUUAUAAAAUUUUUUCUUUCUUCUUCAUUGCUCACUAUAACAAUCUUUUCCAUUGUUGCUUUCUCAAGGAAGCGAGAGACCAUCCUCCAAACACUAACAAAGAAUCGUGGCAUGUGCAAAAUGUAGAGCUUUGCUAAUCGCUCAGGAUAGUAAGCCUGCAAAAAUUGAAAUCCAGCAGCAAACCCGCGCACAUCAAUGUUCCUAUACGUUAUUUGUUGCAGAUCAAGAACAACAACCAACUUCUCAUUUCCUAUUUCUCUUCCUUUGAAUGCGCUGAAAUGAAGUCAAUAAAACCCCUCAAAAAACUUUCUUUUUUUUUUUUUUGUUCAAGAUCAUGACUGUACAAAGAGUAAGCAAAUAACAGGAAGCAUACUAUACCAAAAUAUGAAGAUACCAAUACAUCUACUCUUGUGGUUUUACUAACACCAUAGAUAAGCAGUAUCUAAGCAGUAGCCACUGUCAUUUGGUUACAUAUUCUUUCAAUAUCUUUUUCAUGUUACCAGUAUAUAGCACAAUAUCCAAUUAACGUACAUUAAUAACUGUAAAUAAUCAUAACUUUGCCCAUAAAAUUAAAUCAAUAAGCACCAAACCAGGGUCCAAAUAUCGCAUUUUAAGUAUGCUACUUUUUUUACUUUGAGAAUGCUUCCACAUUAGAGAGCGGAACUCAGGAUCAAUUUUUCCAUAAGAACCUUUGACCAAAAAAAAAAAGCCUUCUAAACCAUCCUAAUUCCAAAUCACUUAAUUCUUCCAAAUAAACCCAAAACUGAAAAAUAACCUAUCACAUUCAGUAUUAUUCAAUGUUAACAAUUACCUUGCAAUUGCUUUGUCUAGCAAAUGAACCACGAACUCUGCACGAAGAGGCAAAACACAACAACAAAACAUUUACUUGUAAGGUAAUGUAAUGAAAAUGAAAAAUUGUUCUUUAUGCCCAAAGUUUAUUUUAUGAUAUCAAUUAGGACCAAGUUUUUUUUAUGAUAUCAAUUAGGCCCAUCUUAACCUCAAAUAAUUGGUUUUGUCAUUUAUAACCUUAAAUAAUUGUUUUUUUUAAGCCAUUGGAUAGGGGGCUUUCUCAUCACUAGCCUAAUCUUCAUUUUUGUAAAAUUGAAUUGAUAGGUUCCAUUUUCCCAAACUUCAAAUGGCAACAGCUACAGCUGGAAGAUCAUCUUUGAGAAAAGGCAUUAAUUGACAAAUAUGAUUUUAGCCACACAUAUUUUUUUUUCAUCCAAUAGCAAGGCCCAUGUUGAGUAAAUGACACUUGCGAGGACUUUAUCAAUUUGGUUAAGUGGAAAUAUAAAUAAGAAAAAAUAAAUAACAUAAGAGCACACAGGAAACUAAUGUGAUUCAGCCAUAAAGCCAUAAAGACGAUAAAAAAAAAUUAUUAAGAAAAUAGGAGAUUUAUAAAGACAGUUGAAUUGCUCUCAAUCCAAUUGACCCACUACUCCCAAAUCUCACUCAUACUAACUCACUCUUGGCUCACUUGCUCUUACUUCAUGCUCUUGCUCCACACUUUGCUAAAUGUAUUAAGAAUAUGGCUACUUAUAGCCAUGACAUGCUUAGAGAUCAGGAACAUGUGGUCCCAUAUCAUGAUAAAAAAUACAAGUCAUAUCUUGAGGAAAAUCUGGGCAAGAAAAUUGAGAAAAUUUUCUUAAUCUUCACCAAAGCAACAUGAUGGAUUCUUAGUACUCUAUAUCUUGAAGCAAAUAUUGGACGAUUGCAUUCAAAUAUUCAUGUGACUCUUUCAUGAUCAGAAUGUGGAACAUCAAUUCAAGAUACAUUCCAAUAAAUACUCACCUUGACUUACAUUGCUCAAUUGCUAACCAAAAAAUUUUUCAAUUAUUUCAGCCUUACGUUAAACCAAUAUCUGCAAUAUCAUUAAAAUGAUGUAAAAUCCAUAUCAUGACCUGCCAAUGAAAUUUUCCAGGAUUGUCCAUAAACCUGCUAACAACACUGAUAGCUAGAGUGCUAUACAUUUGACUAUGAAAGGACCAAGCACGUAGAUGUCAAAUUUCACUUCAUUUAGAAAAAUCGUUUCAGUGAUAAAAAUUUGUAUGGCAGAUGAUCAACCAUAUAUUUAAAACCUAUUCCUACAAUCAAUUCUAAGCAACACUUAGACUUGAUUGAUGUUUGCAGAAAAUUUUUCUGGUUGGUGAUUAAGCAAUUUAAGUCAAGGUGGAUAUUUGUUAAAUGUGUCUUGAUUGAUGGCCCAUAACCCAAUCAUGAAAGAAUCACAUGAAUUUUUGAAUGCAAGUGAGCCAAGAAUGGUGAGUGAAAUUCACAAGUAAGUGAAUCAGAUACUUGAGCUUGGAAGGACUAGUGUGAGUGAGAUUUAUAUAUGGUGGAUCAAUUGAGUUGAAAGCCAUCAAUUCAAGACACAUUUCAACAUUCCAAAUGAAGAAUAAAAAAAUAGUAGAUGGAAUUAUUCAAUAAUGGAAGGCAACAUAUAUAAAAUGGGGAAAGAGAAUCAUUUCCAGGACAAAAAACAAGUGAAUUGACACGAUCCAAGCAGUCCUAUUCAGCAUUCAUUACCCAAUUUUUAUGCCAAAACUUUACUUGUUCUGGUAUAUAAAUGGCCCAUAUAUACGACGAUCUCGAUCAAAACGCAUCAUUGCACCAAUCAAAGCAGUCUAAUUUACUAAAAUUUAAUAACAUGCAUAAGCCGUAAGCAAAUCUUGUUUAUUAGAACUAAAAUUUAAUAAGAUGCAUGACUCAAUAGGUUAAUAAACUGUAACAAAUUGGGUGGAGUUAGAGUUAAGCUAUACUGAC
rnacentral:misc_RNA from 1 species